UACGAAGGGGCUAGCGUUGUUCGGAAUCACUGGGCGUAAAGCGCACGUAGGCGGAUCUUUAAGUCAGGGGUGAAAUCCCGAGGCUCAACCUCGGAACUGCCUUUGAUACUGGGGAUCUCGAGUCCGGGAGAGGUGAGUGGAACUGCGAGUGUAGAGGUGAAAUUCGUAGAUAUUCGCAAGAACACCAGUGGCGAAGGCGGACUCACUGGCCCGGAACUGACGCUGAGGUGCGAAAGCGUGGGGAGCAAACAGG
rnacentral:rRNA from 1 species